CAGCUGCAUAAAUCAGAGAGUGGUGUCAACCAACUGGGGCCCAAUGAGCCACUGCCACUCACUACCUGAAUGGCUGAGCCUGUAAUGGGGAAAGAACACUCCUCAGGUGAAACUAAUGUGUCACAUUUGGGGAAGAUUGAGAGGGUGGCCUCCCAGCUGUAUUUAAGGAAAGCCUGGAGUGGGUUCUAGCUACUGCAGAAGAGCUUGCCUAGGAGAGAACUCAACUGCCCACAGAACACCACGAUGGGAGGCAUGUUUGGAAAGAAAGGGCUACCAACUGCUGAGGAGAACCUGAAGGACCAGAACCUAGAUGGAGCAGGCAGAGAGAUGGAAGAGCCUGCUGGAGAAAAUGGGGUGAGCAAUCUAGGGGCAAACAAAGGAAAUGCUCCAGGCUCUCAGGUCCCUGCUGUACAGAAUUCUGAAGUGGAGGAAGUGGACUCUCGAAUUGAUGUGGAUGCCCAGUUAGACCAGCCAGGAGAAAAGCCAUCUCCCGUUUCUGGGUGCAAGGCCUCUGCAGCACCAGAAUCAAGCUGUGGUCUUAAACCGCUGGCAACAACCCCUGAGGAAAAAAACACAUGUGACACCGCCGCCGCCACCACCACCACCACCACCACCACCGAAGCAUUAAGCUUCACCAUGAUAUGUACAUCUCAGCAGACACUAGUCCCUCCUGACCAUCAAACCUGCCUCCUGGUUGUAAGUAGGCAGAGCACAUGAAGCUCCCAUAGCUCACUUGAACUUGGGGCUACCUUCGUUACUCUAUAUGACUGAUCGGGAUUAACUGGGAAUGUGUUUACCUUCAGUCUGGAUGAAGCAUCCCAUUGUCCUAAUGGACUGCAAGCUGGGAUUUCCCAUGGAAUCUGAUGGGGAUAUACAAAGUGUAGCUGCUACCAGUUCAUGGCACUUGCUGCAUGAUGGUGCUCCGAAAGUAUUUGCCGCUUUGAGGAUUUGCUGAAAUAUUUAACGAGUAUUAAGUAUUUGCCAAAAGUAUCUGCUGCUAAGCUGUUCCAUUGCCAAUAGAGUUCUAUCCAAGAAAACAAAUUGGGUGUUCAACAAUCUAACUCAAAUGGAUGUUGCUGUGUCUUGUAUUACCCCUCUGGACUCCAACUCAUUAACUGUUAAUCUAUUGGUAAUCUCCUUCUGACUUAGUACUUGUGCUUCAAAGGCUUUCUUGGUGGGAACUUCCUGGUGCUAAGCCCACUGGCCGCCUUGUACUCGGAACUUAGCACCUUGUACUUGGAACUUAGUGCAACAUAGAAUACAACUGAUUCUCUCUAAGUAGCUGAGUGGUGCUGAAUGAAAACCACGGAAUGGUUCAAAUCUAUAUUGUGAACCUGAAUGGAUAAAAUGACUGCCUGGCAUUUGUAUCUGUCAAUAAAUAACUUUUUAAACUA